UACGUAGGGGGCGAGCGUUGUCCGGAUUUAUUGGGCGUAAAGAGCGUGUAGGCGGUUCGGUAAGUCUGUCGUGAAAUCCUGAGGCUCAACCUCGGGCGUGCGAUGGAUACUGCCGGGCUAGAGGGUGGUAGAGGCGAGUGGAAUUCCGGUGUAGCGGUGAAAUGCGCAGAUAUCAGGAGGAACACCGGUGGCGAAGGCGGCUUCUGGACAGUAACUGACGCUGAGGCGCGAAAGCUAGGGGAGCAAACAGG
rnacentral:rRNA from 1 species